UGGUUAUUAUAGCAAAGAGGAUACACCUGUUCCCAUUCCGAACACAGAAGUUAAGCUCUUUAGCGCCGAUGGUACUUGGUGGGAAGCUGCCUGGGAGAGUAGGACAUAGCCACGUA
rnacentral:rRNA from 1 species